AAAAAAAGAAUUCUUAGUUUUGAUGAGUGGGAGAACUGAACUGUGCUGUGCCUACUCCAUCUUGGCCAGCACAAGAAGUCCCAAAACUUAAAAAAAUUUAUAAAAUUUAAACUUGAGGAGUAGUUUUGCUUUUGUUUAUAGGUAAUCAGGUGUUUGUUUGUAUGAGACGGAGUUUUGUUCUUGUUGCGCAGGCUGGAAUGCAAUGGCGCGAUCUCAGCUCACUGCAAACUCCGCCUCCCGAGUUCAAGUGAUUCUCCUGCCUCACCCUCCCAAGUAGCUGGGAUUACAGGCAUGUGCCACUAUGCCCAGCUAAUUUUGUAUUUUUAGUAGAGACAGGGUUUCUCCACAUUGGUCAGGCUGGUCUCGAACUCCCGACCUCAGGUGAUCCAUCUGCUUUGGCCUCCCAAAGUGCUGGGAUUACAGGCGUGAGCCACUGUGCCCAACCAGGUGUUCUUAAAUAUAAUUUUUUAUCUCCUUUCCUACCAAGAGGGGUUUUUAGAACUGUUUGCUUGGCAGGUGAAGAAUCUGCACGUUGUGGUUCUUUAUUACUGAAUGAGAAAAUACCAGACUUUACCUUAGCUUUAUUUGUUUCCCAGUUCAACGGAAUUUAACCUUAGAAUUUCCUAAAGAUGCUUUCUAAAAGUUUUUUAUUUCUCCAAGUGUCAUAGUACUGCAUUUAUGAAUCCCAAAUUGGCUUCCACUGUCUAUUUAAACUUGAUAUAAGAUACAGGAAGAUUAUUUUGUCACCACCCUCUUUCUAUUCCAAACACUAUUUACAUAAAGGAAACUUUAGUAAGAGAAGAUAUUUUGGAAAAGAUUUUGUAACCAACUUACACUUGUGUCUGUUUUUGUUUUUUUUUUUGGUUUAAAUUCAAGGGGAGGCCAAGCGUGAUGGCUCAUGCCUGUAAUCCUAACACUUCGGGAGGCCAACACGGGUGGACCGCUUGAGCUCAGGAGUUCCAGAGGAGCCUGGCAACAUGGUGAAACCCUGUCUCUACCAAAAAUACAAAAACAUUGCCCAGGUGAAGCCCAGGGAGCAAAAAGAGGGAGUUACCAGAUUAUUUCUACCUCCACGCCCUCCCUGCCUGUCAAGGACUGAGUCUCAGGAAGAUGCCAGCUCCAGUGCUUUCCCGCUCUUGCCGUCUCAGGCCACUCUGGCUGGCCCCUGGGUCCCUCAACAUCCCCUGUUGGUUCCUUUAGCCCAGCCCACACCGCUGGAAAUAGGCCCUUUAUGAGAUUCUCUUCUAAAUCCUAGAAGAGUGUACCCUCCAUUUCCUGAAAAAUCCUGACAAGUAUGUAAACAUUACUUAAUUAUUGUUAGGUAAAAAUACUAUAAAUAUUAAAUUUAUAAGUAAAUAAAAAUAUUUAAUUUUACAUAAGACAAAGCUAAAAAUUUCAGUUUACAAUUUUUAAACAUAGACAAUAAAUUUCCCAGAAAGAAAUUGCUGACUACCAACCAAAUUUUCAUUUUUAUUUUUUAAAUGUUGGAAAAAUUUUCCCAGAAAGAUUCUUAUCAACCAAUCAAAUUGUGUUAGCAGUUGUGUUAGUAGUCACAAGGAAAAUAAUCAGUCAUAUUAGUUUUCUUACUAUUGUUCAUAUUUUGUCUUUCAAAAAUAGGUGUAAUGUACAAAUACUUCUUAAUUAGAUAUGCUUAAAUAAAACAUUUCAUAUUGUAUUGAUUUGGGUAUAUUGUAGAAAAUAAAAAGUUCCUCUUCAAAGCUUCCCUUCUUGUUAAAGAAUAAAUCAUAAGUGUUAGAAUUAACAGUUUCUUUUAAAGACUAACUUUAUGCUAGACAUGCUCACAGGCACGUAGUACAUUCUACGUGCUCGUACUUUUACCAAGAUAUCUGUGCUAGACGUGCUCACAGGCAUGUCUCAGCUCGCAGCCUAUGCCCUUUCCUUAUUUGGGAAUGUUUAUUCCUUAUUUGGAAAUGUUAUUACUUUUCUAAGUCCUUUCGUAAGCAACUUCAUUUUUUUCCUUUGUUUUUCUAUUGCCUUUACCUGUUUAAAAAAGUUUUAAACUGUUAGCCAAUCGGGUUUUAGUUUAGAUUGUGAGGUCUGGCUCCAGCCAAUGGAGACAGGACACAGUAGCAGGGACAAACUGGGUAAGGGAUAAAAAUUGCUUCGCUCGGUUGUUCCGGGGUGCUCUCGCCAUUGUUCCAACUGCCAUAAACACCCUUUCUGCAGAAAGCAAAAAUGGCUUUGCUGAGAGAAUUAAAUUUAUGUUCGAGUGCUAUUUCUUUGUGGCACUGGGGAACAAGCAUUCUAUUUCUAAAUAAACAUUUUUACGUAUAACUACUGAAUAUAACCAUGGACUGUUUGCAAAUUAUAUUGGAAUCAUGUAGACACAGCUUUAAUAAUGGAUAAUAUAAAUAUUACUUUUUCUAGCCAAAAAUCAGGAGCAGACUAUGUAUACAAGUCUGGAAUGGAGGACUUUCCAUUCUAGAAGAAAGAGUGGUCAUUUUCAACUCUUCUUCCUUUUGAGACCUCACUAAAAUUAGAGGAACAGAAUUUAAAAAUACAUUACAUCUCCACGAUAAAGAGAACAGGAAAGGAAACAUCAACAGACAAGGGGAUUUGACAGAUAUUUUUGGAGGGAAGAAACGGUGGAGCAGAGGUAAUUAAGCCGAUUGGAGAGAGGCUGUCCUGCAGACCGAGUGAGACAAGGUCCUGGCACUGGAGAGGCUGCUGCCUGGAUCCCUCCCCCAGCACAUGAAAUCAGGAAAUCACCACUCCUCUUGCCCCAGGCCAGAGACUAGGUUUCUGUAGACAUGGAAGGUAGAGGCUGCGGACCUGGACCCCAGACACAGGUGAGAGGAGAGGCUUUGCGCUAAAGAGAGAGAGAGAGAGAAAAGGAGGUGGGGAAGAAGAAAGAAAGGAGGAAGAGAGAAGGCCAGGCGCGGUGGCUCACGCCUUGUAAUCCCAGCACUUUGGGAGGCCGAGGCAGGCGGAUCAUGAGGUCAGGAGAUCGAGACCAUCCUGGCUAACACGGUGAAACCCCGUCUCUACUAAAAACACAAAAAAUCAGCCGGGCGUGGUCGCGGGCGCCUGUAGUCCCAGCCACUCGGGAGGCUGAGGCAGGAGAACGGCGUGAACCCGGGAGGCAGAGCUUGCAGUGAGCCAAGAUCAGGCCACUGCACUCCAGCCUGGGUGACAGAGCGAAACAACGUCUCAAAAAAAAAAAAAGAAAGAAAGGAGGAAGAGAGAAAAGGAGUGUGGAAAGAAAAGAAAAUUUCAGGAGCUUCUACAUUGGUUAUGCCAGCAGAAACAGUUAAGCCAUGGAAACUGAGUCACAUACACGCUGUUUUUCUUCUCUGGUGCAUGACCUUUGCUUCUGACCUUUGUGUUGAGAUGUUAUGAAUUAACCACCCUUCCUAUUCUUCAUUCAAACCUCAACUAAAUGACAUUGGAGAUAGAGACCCUUACCUCUUUACGAUGGAUGUUAAGUAACUCCCAUAGAGUAUAGUCAAUGGUGGCCAGCCAACUUGUGUGUGUGUGUUUUAUAUCUUAUAUUAAAAAAAUGAAAAAAAAAGUUGUAAUUCUGGCUGGAUACGUGGCUCACAACUGCAAUCCUAGCACUUUGGGAGGCCAAGGUAGGCGGAUCACUUGAGGCCAGAAGUUCAAGACCAGCCUGGCCAACAGGGUAAAACUCUGUGUCUACUAAAAAUACAAAAAAUUAGCCAGGCGGGCAUGGUGGCGCACGCCUGUUAUCCCAGCUGCUCGGAUGACUGAGGCUUGAGAAUCCCUUGAACCUGGGAGGUGGAGUUUGCAGUGAGCCAAGAUCAUGCCACUGCCCUCCAGCCUGAGCAACAAAGCAAGACUUUGUCUCCAAAAAAAAAAGAGCAUGUUGUAAUUCUGUUCAGCACCCCUGUUUUUUGCUUAUAUGAAUGAUCUUCACCUUUCCCCGCACUGAGGAGUGAUGAUCACCAUUCUUUGGUGUCUGCUACCCUAACACUUGGCGCUUGAAUAAACUCUUUUAAGUGGA